UGGUCAGCAAGUAACUGUCCCGACUCAUGAUCGGAGGCUAUUCUGUCCGAUCUCUCAUCGACGUAUUCUUGGUCCGAGCCCUUGAUCGAAAAACUAUCAAUUCCAACUCCUAGUCGGCAUGCCACACUUUCCGACUUCUUCUCAGAAGCAGAUUGAUCAGGCUUAGAUUCAAAGGGUAAGCACCAACUGACCAUAGCUG
rnacentral:lncRNA from 1 species